UCUCUCCUCACGAGGGCGCCACAUAUUGGGCUUCUUUUCUCUUUUUUCCAUAUAAAACGCGCCUUCUUCCGGUAAAUUUCCGCGAUCGGCCGUGACGACGACGUUUUUUUUUAUCUUUUUUUUUCUUUUUUCUUUUUUCUAUUUAUAUCUUUACAUAUCUUCGCAAUCGCGCUCGUUAUAUUAUCAAUGUAUCUACCCUUCCGUUUUUCUUCUUUUUUCUUUUUUUUCCCUUCAUCAUUAUCAUCAUCAUCAUCAUCAUCAUCAUCAUCAUCAUCGUUAAUUACAAUAUAUAGACAUAUAUUUAUAUAUAUUUUUUUUCAAUUGUAAUAUAUAAUAUAAUAUAAUCCCUACCAUAUAAUAAUUCUUUUUUUCACAUACCGAUCAUAUUUCAAAUCGUCAUCAAACAGCGAAAAAAUCUGUUAAUUAUAUAUAUCUAUAUAUAAGACCGCGGCGUCUAUGGUCGUUCGAAUCAUUCGAACGAUUCUUCAUCGUUUAUGCGUAUGCGUUGAACUUACUAUAUAUAU